GAUGAACGCUGGCGGCGUGCUUAACACAUGCAAGUCGAACGAUGAAGCCCAGCUUGCUGGGUGGAUUAGUGGCGAACGGGUGAGUAACACGUGAGUAACCUGCCCUUAACUCUGUGAUAAGCCUGGGAAACUGGGUCUAAUACCGGAUAGGAGCGUCCACCGCAUGGUGGGUGUUGGAAAGAUUUAUCGGUUUUGGAUGGACUCGCGGCUUAUCAGCUUGUUGGUGGGGUAAUGGCUCACCAAGGCGACGACGGGUAGCCGGCCUGAGAGGGUGACCGGCCACACUGGGACUGAGACACGGCCCAGACUCCUACGGGAGGCAGCAGUGGGGAAUAUUGCACAAUGGGCGCAAGCCUGAUGCAGCGACGCCGCGUGCGGGAUGACGGCCUUCGGGUUGUAAACCUCUUUCAGUAGGGAAGAAGCGAAAGUGACGGUACCUGCAGAAGAAGCACCGGCUAACUACGUG
rnacentral:rRNA from 1 species